rnacentral:rRNA from 1 species
CCUACGGGAGGCGGCAGUGGGGAAUUUUGGACAAUGGGGGCAACCCUGAUCCAGCAAUGCCGCGUGAGUGAAGAAGGCCCUCGGGUUGUAAAGCUCUUUUGUCAGGGAAGAAACGGUCUACUCUAAUACAGUGGGCUAAUGACGGUACCUGAAGAAUAAGCACCGGCUAACUACGUGCCAGCAGCCGCGGUAAUACGUAGGGUGCAAGCGUUAAUCGGAAUUACUGGGCGUAAAGCGUGCGCAGGCGGUUUUAUAAGACAGAGGUGAAAUCCCCGGGCUCAACCUGGGAACUGCCUUUGUGACUGUAAGGCUAGAGUGUGUCAGAGGGGGGUAGAAUUCCACGUGUAGCAGUGAAAUGCGUAGAUAUGUGGAGGAAUACCGAUGGCGAAGGCAGCCCCCUGGGAUAACACUGACGCUCAUGCACGAAAGCGUGGGGAGCAAACAGGAUUAGAUACCCUGGUAGUCCACGCCCUAAACGAUGUCUACUAGUUGUCGGGACUUAAUUGUCUUGGUAACGCAGCUAACGCGUGAAGUAGACCGCCUGGGGAUACGGUCGCAAGAUUAAAACUUAAAUGAAUUGACGG